GCUAGGUAUUUUGCUGGAUAAAAAGUGUAAUGCAAUUUGUUUCUCUGUGAAGUUAAGCAGCCUCAAGCUCGGGUAGUACUCGGGUGGGUGACCACCGGGGAAGUCCGGGUGCUGUCU
rnacentral:rRNA from 1 species